CUCAGCCGUUACCUGGGCACGCAACACGUUUGCCUUGAGUUGCUUCUGAACGAAGAUCGUGGAUGUGCAACCUGUAGCUCACAGGCCACUCGGAGCAUGAGCCGAGCAGGGAGAUCUGCUGCCUGUGUCUUCAGCACACAGAUCACAGCUUUACAACACAGACUCUACAAAUUCUGCCUGUGUUAAGCUUGAGCAGGCUGAAAUUCUACCAGUAACACGAGGGUGAGACAUAGCAAAGGAUAUCCUUACUUGCUGGGACAUGGCCCGACAAUUUGUGAAUAAUGAAAAUGAAGUCCAGAAUAUGACCUUGAAGAAUAUAUUUUACAGUCCUGUGUCUACUGGAGUCAUUUGUCACGUGCUGACGGUAACUGAAUGCCAGACAGGACGACGUCUCCCUGCAUUCAGUGACGGAUGUUAUCCUGCAACAGCCGUUCAUCCUCUGCGCACAUUUGCGUUUACAGCUGAGGCAUUAACUAUAAUAUUUGGUUAACGUUGAAAAUAUUACAUCAUAUUUUUAAAUGACCACAGAUAAUUUGUUCAAUCGGCCUACACAAUCACUACCUCCACCUGGGCUGGGAUGUUGACUCAGUGUUUCUCAGUGUUUAGUGUCCUUGCACAGACAAUAUGUGAGUGUUUGCUUGCAUGCUCUAACUUCACCAUCAAACCCAACACUACAGCGAACAAACUGUUUAAAAGCAUUUUCCAGUCAACACACUGAGCUAGCGCUCACUUAAACAAGGAGGUGCUGUAAUUCCACAACAUGGUGCACAGGCACCACCAAACAUCCGUGAUUAAAAGAAAACAUUUGUCAUUACCACCUCACACGUUUUCCACAUUUGACUGGACAGCAAUAAUCCAAACUAUAAUAAUCCCACUCUGUUUAGAGAGGACAGUAUAUCCUGCAAUUCGUCUGCAU